CGGCAGGUCUUAUACGGCCAGCUCCUACUAAUCCCCCAGGGCAGGAAUGCAGCAAGGGCGUGUGGUUGUAGCGGUGCGAUGUAAGUAACCUGUCGGUU
rnacentral:SRP_RNA from 1 species